UACGUAGGCAGCGAGCGUUGUUCGGAGUUACUGGGCGUAAAGGGCGUGUAGGCGGUUUUCUACGUUUGGUGUGAAAUCUCCCGGCUCAACCGGGAGGGUGCGCCGAAAACUGGGAGACUAGAGUGCGGGAUGGGAGAGUAGAAUUCCAGGUGUAGCAGUGAAAUGCGUAGAUAUCUGGAGGAACACCGAUGGCGAAGGCAGCCCCCUGGGCUAACACUGACGCUGAUGCACGAAAGCGUGGGGAGCAAACAGG
rnacentral:rRNA from 1 species